rnacentral:rRNA from 2 species
ACAUCGACAUCUUGAACGC